GAUGAACGCUGGCGGCGUGCCUAAUACAUGCCAGUCGAGCGAACAGACGAGGAGCUUGCUCCUCUGACGUUAGCGGCGGACGGGUGAGUAACACGUGGAUAACCUACCUAUAAGACUGGGAUAACUUCGGGAAACCGGAGCUAAUACCGGAUAAUAUAUUGAACCGCAUGGUUCAAUAGUGAAAGACGGUUUUGCUGUCACUUAUAGAUGGACCCGCGCCGCAUUAGCUAGUUGGUAAGGUAACGGCUUACCAAGGCAACGAUGCGUAGCCGACCUGAGAGGGUGAUCGGCCACACUGGAACUGAGACACGGUCCAGACUCCUACGGGAGGCAGCAUUGGGGAAUCUUCCGCAAGGGGCGAAAGCCUGACGGAGCAACGCCGCGUGAGUGAUGAAGGUCUUCGGAUCGUAAAACUCUGUUAUUAGGGAAGAACAAAUGUGUAAGUAACUAUGCUCGUCUGGACGGUACCAAAUCAGAAGGCCACGGCUAACUACUG
rnacentral:rRNA from 1 species